AGCAGUCGCCACGGUAAUACGUAGGUGGCAAGCGUUGUCCGGAAUUAUUGGGCGUAAAGGGCUCGCAGGCGGUUUCUUAAGUCUGAUGUGAAAGCCCCCGGCUCAACCGGGGAGGGUCAUUGGAAACUGGGAAACUUGAGUGCAGAAGAGGAGAGUGGAAUUCCACGUGUAGCGGUGAAAUGCGUAGAGAUGUGGAGGAACACCAGUGGCGAAGGCGACUCUCUGGCCUGUAACUGACGCUGAGGAGCGAAAGCGUGGGGAGCAAAUGGGAUUAGAUACCCCUGUAGUCCCUGUCUCUUAUAC
rnacentral:rRNA from 1 species